ACUGUGACCUCGUUUUUCUUUUAGUGUGUAAGUAAUUGUUUUCAUUUGUUUUUUUGUUACAGGAUUGUGCAUCUACGGACCGGCACUCAAGUGAGACGGGGUGCUCCGAUGGACGGAACCAGACUGCGGAAGGGAUGGCUCAGACUCCUCAGUUCUCAUCCAAAUCCUUCAAAAAAACUUUGGGUUAUGGGUGGUACAGGAGUCCGCUUUCAACAAAAAUAGCUCAAAAAUAAUUUUAUUUUUAUUUUAUUUUUUUAAUGGUGCGGCGGCCCAGUCCUUGUACGUUAAUCUGGGACCGCCAAAAAUUAACCACUUUUAUUAUUUUAGUAAAAAAUAUAUAUUUCCCUGGUUCACCCACAAAAAAUUGAAGCAAAUUAACUUCAGAAAAACAGUUUAAUAGUAUUUAGAUUUCGGUUACAACUUUUCACUAUUUCUUAAUUUUAUUUUAUUUUAACGCAAAUAAAUUUUAUUUCAAUUUAGUUUGGUUUAAUAUUUUUAUUCUAAAAAAACUAGCAGCUUUAGCUCAACCGAUCUGUAUCUUGCUCAACUUUCGAAUGACCCGAGUUCAGCGAGAUGUCAAAAGCCCGAUCUUAAAGGAGAAAAAUAGAGGAAACCACUUUGACAUUUGGCGGAGUACCUCCAAAAAUUGGUACCGCAUGUUAAAUCUAACUGGACAAACAUCACCCGAUUCACAUCUCUCAAUAUAAACCUUAUAUACACUCUUGUAAGUAUUGGUGAGCAUUUCUAUAUCCCCCCUUUCUAUCUUCGAAUUCGAACUUAAUUAUAGGGCACGUUCAGAAAAAGGGAAAUUACCUUGUUGCAACCAUCGACCAAUAGAUGGCUAUUGUAAGGUUAAGGGUGUGACUAUAUUGGCUUAUUGGAGGUUUAAGUUUGGUUUGUACGUAAAACAGCAAGUCUAACCGGUGACAUGAACAUAGACAAAAAGUAUGUAUAGAAUAAUUAAAAGAACUAAUUUGAGCAGCCUUCGGACUCGCUUCUGAGCCGAAAUCGGACUCAGCUCCGCCCGAGUCGGAGCGGAUUCGGACCGAGGUCGGACUUGUUUGCUUGAAGGGUAGGCAUCAAUCGGCCCAUUCAACUCGACCCUCAUGUAACCAUAUAAAGUACGAAGUCUGAACAAUGGUUGAUCGGUGUCAGUCCAUAGACUAUAAUUUAUUAAACAUCAAAUUCGAACAUGGCAAAUUCAACAUGGCAGGUUUUAAGUUAUGCUUCCAGGUGGAGUUUUCAUCGAUGGAUGUCGUCACAAGUGGGUUGCUUAACUUGACUGGAGGCAGUUCGCCAGGCGUCCGCAACAAAAUUUGCUACUUAUUGGGAUAUAUUCCCAAUAAGGAGUAAAAAUAAACGAAGUGAAGUCGGUCGCCUGGAACAUAAAAAAAAACUUGUGGAUGGUUAUGCUCUAGGCGGUCGCAGAAAAAAACUACUAUACUUCCUAUACCGGAAUGCAACGCAGGUAAAGCAUCAUCAAGUGUGACGUUCAGCAUCAACGAAAGGUAAAUACUAUCCGCCAUGGUGUCCAAGUUGGGAUAGUAAAUAAAUUAAAGAACAAAUAAGAACCGAAAAAACUACAAAACAAAACAAAACGGAUAUACCAAAAACAACAGAAAAAUGGGUAUGGAUCAUCGGCAUAAACAGGACCAUAAAAGUGAGUGACUACUGAGUCAUUUACAUUCAUUCAAUUCAGGUACGUACAUCAUUUUGUCUUAUUUUAAGUUGCAUUUGUGGAUUUAAAGUUUUGUUUCUUUUCAUUAUUUUUUUUUAUGCGCUGUGGGGAAAAACCCACGAUUGAAGAAGGGCACAAAAAAAAAAGGUGUCAAGGUAUAGUCAACUUUUUUUUUUUUUUCUUUCCAACACCCAUCCGACGCCGCUUCAGUAAAGGUUGCAUUUAGAGUGAUAUGGGGACAAAAGUCAUCGAUAUUGAAUUGCGAAUCAUAUUUACAACAAAUUUUACUGCACAUAUUAUAACUGGUGAGUGUUUUAAGUAUUUUAUUCACAUAUUCUGGUAUUAGGUGAUAUUAUAUAAGUAAUUUAAACAUGCAAAACAUCUAAUUUAGUAAACAAAUUGUAAUAAAUAUAUAAAUAAAUAAUUGUGGUAAAAAAAAUAAAACUUAAAUCUAGUAUCACAGUUUUGUAAAUAGUCAAGUAACUAAAAAAUAAAAAAAAAUAAGUAUCACAGAUUAGAAAAAAGUAAAAAAGAACUAUCUAAAACUAUCUAAAUAAAAGUAAAUAUCACAGUUUAAGAAAAAUAUAAUUAACUAAACUACAAUUAAACUAAAAUUAAGUAAAUAUCACAGAUUAUAAAAAAAUUAACUAAAUUAUAAGUCUUUAAAAUUCAUUAUCAAAAAUUUAUAAAAUCACAGAUGCUUAAUAGUUUUAUCACAGUACAUAAGUAUAUAAUUUAAAUUCUAAUCAAUACAUAUAACAAAAUAUCGAUAAAUAACAUUAAGUAACAU